rfam:Myotis lucifugus cont2.6811, whole genome shotgun sequence.
GGUGGUUCUCGGGUGAUGCACCCCAAAAUCAGGCUCCCUCCUUUCUGAUUCUUGGUGUGUCACCUGAGAACCACA